UACGUAGGGUGCAAGCGUUGUCCGGAAUUAUUGGGCGUAAAGAGCUCGUAGGCGGUUUGUCACGUCUGCUGCGAAAACUGGAGGCUCAACCUCCAGCCUGCAGUGGGUACGGGCAGACUAGAGUGCGGUAGGGGAGAUUGGAAUUCCUGGUGUAGCGGUGGAAUGCGCAGAUAUCAGGAGGAACACCGAUGGCGAAGGCAGAUCUCUGGGCCGUAACUGACGCUGAGGAGCGAAAGCAUGGGGAGCGAACAGG
rnacentral:rRNA from 1 species